rnacentral:lncRNA from 1 species
AAGGGUAGGAAUCCAACCAGCUGGGUGACAUGGUUAGUAUUAGAGCUAUCAAAAUAGGCUGAUCCGGCCUGGUCUGAUUUUAACCCACGUGGGCUGUGAUUAUAUAGGUUGGGCCGAGCUCGGCUCAUUUGUUAAAAGAGGUCAUAAAAAUUCAGUAUGUUUCUAAUCCAUGUGGACUGUGGGUUAGGGCCAGGUCGGUCUACAUUCUUUUUUUUCUUUCUUUUUUUUUCUAGAGCCGG